CAGCCGCCACGGUAAGACAGAGGAUGCAAGCGUUGUCCGGAAUUAUUGGGCGUAAAGGGCUCGCAGGCGGUUUCUUAAGUCUGAUGUGAAAGCCCCCGGCUCAACCGGGGGGGGUCAUUGGAAACUGGGAAACUUGAGUGCAGAAGAGGAGAGUGGAAUUCCACGUGUAGCGGUGAAAUGCGUAGAGAUGUGGAGGAACACCAGUGGCGAAGGCGACUCUCUGGUCUGUAACUGACGCUGAGGAGCGAAAGCGUGGGGAGCGAACAGGAUUAGAUACCCGUGUAGUCCCUGUCUCUUAUAC
rnacentral:rRNA from 1 species